AAAAAAAAGCAGAAAACCCAAACCAGUUCUUAAUCCCAUGGGUUUAGAUUAUUAAGAACCCAGAAACGUGGUAAACCUCUCUUUGGCAAGAAAGCCUGACCUUCUGUGGAAAACUGGGAAAAUUCCUACAGACUAAAAUCAGGCUUCUAACAUAAAAGCAUUACAGUCGUGCUCUGUCUCUUUAUGAAACAAUCACUGUAACUGCACAUAUUUUAAAAGAGCAGCAAGUAGUGCAGAAACUCACAUUAUUAACCUGUAUGCAGUUUAUCCUGUAGGUUUUAGAUUCAUUAAGUUUGCCGAUGAGACUGCUUUGGUUUGGUUUUGUUUUUCCCCCUCUCUUUUUUUUUGUACUCCCACCAUCAGUUAUCUGCAGCAGCAGAACAGGUUUCUGAUACUAAUGUCAGCCUGCAGUACCCUUCGUUAGCCCAGCCAGGGGGAUUCUGCUAAAUUACCAUCUCUCUUAUGGCCCAUUUUACUCUGCUUAAAUCUCUCAUCAGAAAUUUCAGUUGGAAACUAGCUGCUGUCUCAGUAUCAGAAUAUGCACAUUGAAUACGUUAAAUCUCAGCGUACCAGGCUUCCCAGGUUUUUGGAAACCUACUUAUGCAAAUAUCAUAAUGCAACAUAGAGACAGUAACAAUGAAUGCUGGUUUAAGAGGCAAAUGUACCCUGGAUUCCAUGCUUGUAUCUCUCUACUUCAUUUGAUACAGAAAGUCUGAUUAGAUCUCUCAAGAUUACAGUUUAAAAGGGCUUGGGAAAAACAGACUAUGAGUAACUUGGAUUUUUAAAAUGUAUAUUCAAAUAUAGAAUCAGCUUUACCGGUACAGAGCAUCACAAAGCUGGAUUUCAGUUGUAUGGCUCUGUGUUUAUCAAAAGGAAAAGGAGGUAUUUUCCCAUAAUCAUAUGUUGGCUUUGUCUCACCAGUGUCCAGGGCUGCCGCGUGCUGUGACGCAGGACGGAGCAGCUGCGCUCUGGGGAUUGCGCUCCGAGGGAAGGGAGCAGAUUCAGAGUGUUCAAACCACGAGUCCUCCUACCUCUCCUUUCUGCUGGAGUCAGCAGCUCUGCAGAAGUCCUGCUCCCUGUUUUAUCUUCUGAAAAAUUAGACUAAUUGCUAACGACUCCUGUGAGGACAGAUGUGUACAGAAAAGAUGGCACCUCAAGACUGAGAGACACGUCGAGAUUUCCUACUGUGUGGGAAGAGCUGUGCAACAACCCUGAAAGGCACAGAGCUAAACCUGAUGUUUAUCAUACAUGCUGUCCAGGAGUCUUCAUCACUGGAAAUGAUCUUCCAUGUGUUAUCAGGUGGAAAAGUUCUGAACCCUAUUUUAAUACUGUGUUUGAAGAAUAAAAUUUUCUUCUAACUUAAAUGUUUACACCUGAUCUGCAGUCUUCACUUAUCAACACAGUUCAGUACCAGGGUUAAAGCACCAGGCUGGUGACCAGGCUCAGCUCUUCAGCCUCUGCCACCAAUUGCUGCAAGUGGACAAGUCUCUCAGUUUCUGUCAGUGUUCUCUCUCUCUCAUUACCUCUGUUUCCUGUAGGCAGGAGGUAUCUUAAGAGAGUAACAUCUGUAUCCCAAAUAAAUAUUUGCAGAAGUUAUCUGUGUGAUUUCAUAUAUAAAUAAAGUAACGAGGUCUAUUAUGACAUCGAUGGAUCAGAAGCCUCUUGUACAUGACAGCCAGGUGGUUGUUUCCAGUAAGAAGACCUGUACAGUACAUUAUAUUUCUCUGAAUCUCACAGUAAUAUCCUCUUGCUGCUCUCUCAAGCCCUGUUAAUGAGCUGCUCAGAGGUUGGGAGAUGGCAUCUGCUUAGUAACAGAGUCAGUACUGAUCUCAGUUAUUGCAGAUUUCUGCAUUUUGCUAGCAAACAGUCUAAUAAUUGCUCAUCAUAAGAAAUCUGAACCGCUUAGAUCCCAGUUAGAUUUUGAGGGUUUGAUCCUGCCAGGUGCUGAACGGUGGUUGAGAGCUGAGCCAUCCUCAGCCCAUCAGAGCGGGUCAAGGCACUCGGCAUGCUGCAGGUCCAGUCUGGCUUGGGUGGGGAACCUGUGCAAGAUACAGGAAAGCACCUUGAUUACUCUGGGUUACUAGUAGGCGAGACUAGUUUACUUAUGAGUUGUACUGAGGUCCUUUGGAAGUCAGUCAAAGGCUUUAUUAUUCUAAGAUUAGUAGCUCAUGUGUAAUCUCUGCUAAAACAAUUCACUCUCACUAGGCUGUUGAAAUUUCUCAGGUGCUAUACUGCCAGAUUGACUGGUUUUUAAAAUCUAAGAAAUCUGUGGAACAUUGCAUUUCUGGUAUAAGAGCCAGAAAAGGGUCCAUCAUGGUCCAUGCCACUGUUUUUUUCUGCAAAGGUAACACUGGCUUUAUUAUUGGAUUUGCUGUCAUCUGAUGGUGCUUGUAAAUUUUAAGAAGAAGUAAAAUAUGCAUGAGUUCACGGGAGAGGAUUUUGUAGCUCUAACAUACAUUGUAGUUACAGACAGAAAAUGUUUCUGGUUCAUUUAGGGAAUAUGCAUUUCAGCACUCAGAGACACCCUUGUGAUAAGGCUUCAGCACAGACAGCAGUAAGGAGAGUCUGAAAAUCAACUGAGAAAAAAAAAUAAUUUUAAGCUUUCCAGUUUUAUAAUAGAUAACGGGAGAUGUGACUCCUUUUCAAUAUUUAUAACAGUUCUCUUCAAAAUUAAAAAAAAAAAAAUCAGUCUGAUUUAUCUUUUUUCAAGAUUGUAGGUGCUUCAGGGGAGUAAUUUCUAUUCCUUAGCAGAGGAUGUUGCAUACAGAGAACCCUGACAGCCUGUUCCUGGCCAUCCUUGCUCACGGGCGAGGGUGUAACAAAGGAUGGCAGGAGCUAUUCUGAGCUGGUGCCUUCCCAAAGUCUUUCUGCUUUAAUUCUGGCAUGGUUUUUCCUUCUGCUCCAAUAGCUGCAUUCCCUGUUGGAAAAAAAAGACGUCAGCCAGGUUUCCUGCUGCAGAAUUUUACUCUGCUAAAGCCCUGCAUGAAAGCAGUUCAUGUUUCCCUGUCCCUUGGUUUUUAGGUGCUAUUUUACAGCUGCUCGUGUGGUGCCAUAAAGACCAGAAGAACAGCCUGGCACCAAGCGAAACCAUCGCAAUAUUGCCAUUGGGGUUUUCAAGAGAGGUAAAAUUUCACUCUAGCUCUGGGAUCUUACCAAAGUAGGUUGGGUGUAGUGACUUCUUGUGCCUCAGUGUUUGGACAAUGAGGAUAAUGUUUGCUUGCCUUGAGAACUACAGAGGAGCUACAGCGGUCCCAUGCGAUCGGUCUUGUUAAGAAGGGAGGCGAGGCUUCCCUGGAACUGUGGUACCAUUUCAAGUGGUGACUCCGGGGAGAAGUCUGCUAACAGCCUUUUCAUCUUCUCUGCGCCCUGGCUCAUGAAUAAACAUAGGGGAAGAGGGAGAUAGAUGAAAAGCAGCUGGGACCCAUGUUGCUGUAGAGCUGUGGAUCUUCCCGGGCAUUAGCUAUAAUUGGCUCUUUUUGGGCUAUCCCGGUAUUUUAGCAGGUGUUUCAGUGUCUCCCCAAAGGGAGGUAGAGCAGCCCAUUGCAGCAGUGCUUUAAAGCAGCUCCAACUGAUUUUAGGUCAUACUAACAGCAAGUCAGAGGGAACAGGCAGCCUCGGAGGGAGAGCUCUGCUCCCUCUCCUGCCUCGACCCCAGACAUCAGCGCCCUUGUGAUCUGGCUGCAAGAGAGCCUUGAAUCGAUUUGAAUCUCACAGUUCACUAUAAUUUUAACAUGUACCCCCCCUCCUAGAUCUGUGUGAACCAGCACAGGGCUAUCAUAGCUGAGGUUCUUAUCCAGAAUCUGCAUGUAGAUGUGAAAUAGUCUUAAAAAUCUUGACAGGUUAACUUCCAUGAAAAUCUCUUGUUAGGCAGUAGUCACUACUAGCAAUUAUCAUGCUUUUAUCUGUAGCUGUCAAUGCACUGUAAAAAGUGGCUGUUAUUCCCGUUUUAUAGAAGAAACAGAUGUUCUAGGGAUGUCUGAAUAGAUUUAAUACAGAAAUUGCAUGCCUAAAAGGUGUGCUAGAAAAUCCCAUCAUUAUCACAUGACUGAUUUUAUUCAGUGCACCCAGGAAUUCAGCAGAUCUGCUCGUUGUGCUUUGCUUCUCAUUUGUUUUAAAGCAGUAAUUUUUAAGUUUUCAUUUUACCACCGUUUUGGGGCAGAGGAGAAGCUGAAAUGAGGCUAUAAUUAUUGUCUUUGGGAGGCAAACUUUGAGGUAGGGAUUUAUUUGAAACUUCUUGAGAUUUGUUUUUUUGAUCAAGAGACACAGAAGUCACAUUUGUGAAAUCCAAUUAGGCUCCAGCCCUGGCAGGGACACAUGACAUAAGGCAUAUAUGGCCAUCUGACUCCCUGUCCUUCCCUGCUCUUAAAGCCUUCAGCCCCCAUGGCACAGCUGUGCUUCUUACCUCAGGUAUUUGGGAUUACUGCAAACUCAUUUUACCUGCUUGGGAGUCGUCAGCGCUGCAGUCUUUCCCUUGGGAACAUGGUAGAUGACAGGGAAAAGGCAGCUGAGAACUGUGUCACUCUAGGGGAGUGAUCAGAACUGGGUAGGGCAAGAGGAGAGCCAUAGAUGGAUGUUGUGAUGGCAUCAGGACCAUGAACAACUGCUGAAGGCAGUUAGUACAAUAAGAGAUAGGAGGCUGUGCUGUCGCCUUGGUUUUAACAAGGAAUUGGACACUUCUGUGCAUGUCUUAUUUAGCUUUCCUGCCUGGAGCUAGAAUUUGUCAGUACCUUUACAGAGCUAACUUUUUUUUGGAUUGAGGACUUUCCACUACAAUAAGCCAGAAUUUGUUAGAACAAGGAAGAGCUUACCUGGUAAUGAUCCUUUCUCAGGAACCAGCUCUCAUGCACUGCGGACUCAAGGAUGUGAUGAUGCACUGUGACCACUGUCUUCACUCCCAGGUGCAGAGUCCCUUGGCUUGCCUUUCCUUUCUGGUUAUAGCAAAAAAAGAAACUAGAUACUUCUCCUUACUUGGAGAGCAGCAAUUUCCUUCGGCCACAUCAGAAACCAGAUUGCUAAUUGCCCUGCUGUGCUGCUCACCUCUCCGGGCAAUAGCUGUCCUUUGCCUGGAGGAGUCCUCUUGUAGCACCCACUUGCGCCAUAGCAAAACUUCAUUCCUAAUGGCUAACUAGUUUUCUUAUAAGAGGGAAGCUGUAUUUUUAUGAAUGUGAAGUUACCAAGGCCUUUUCCUUCACUUUUCUGAAACUCUAAGUCGAUUAAUUUGUGUAUACAUGACAGUCAGGACAAGCAAUGAUAACAAACCGGACUGAAAAGAGACGUCAGAGUUUUGUACCAAACAACCUUUGAGCACAGCAGUAAAACUGACUUUUCUAUUAUCUUCAGCCAGCCGCAGGACUUUCCUGUUAGUGUACAUUUACUAUUGAUUUGAUUUUUGUUUUUUAUAUAAUUCCCUGCAGGACUCUAAAUGGUUAUUGGAACACCAGAGCCUAUAUCACUGUGCUACUUCAGAAAAAAUCAGAAUGGGUUAACCACAUACAUAGAAAGUUUAGGCCCAGGUGACUAGAAUACAUUCCCAAAGAUGAGCAGAUGGACAAAUUAAUAAGAUGAAAUUAAUUACAUUUACACAUUUUCCUUUAAUAACAAUGAUUCCUUUUGGUUGCAUCUUUCAAAGCCAAAGAACAAGUCAGUCAUACAUUAACACUGUUGGUGUCCUAUUUCCUGUUUCGCUGUAUCUUUACUAUUUACAACACUUUUGUAUUUAAUUUGAAGGAAUAAUAUGACCUGAGAGUGACAGGCAGCUUUCUUAAUGGGCUUCUCUGCUCCUGCUCAUGCCAUGACAUCAAUUAUGUACAGUUGUCUUUGACUUGGAACGUGUAACCCCCAUGGUGACUAAUUACAGUACCUAACGUUAGGGUCUCCAGUGGCACAGACUCGAGAUUAAAAAAUGCAGUUGAGCCUGCUGCUUGGGGAUGGAAAUCUUCAAUGUCCCGAGAGCUCCAGGCCCUUGUUGGUUUUCUCAGGCCAUUGGGGUUGGGAAGGAACAGUGAUGCUUUACCAGGCUCUGGAGUAAAAAUGAAAACAUUAGAAGGAACCCCAAUGCUUUGCCUUACCUAAAUUCCUUUCUCUUUUCCAUAUCAGUGCUAUUAUUGUUAUAUUUUUAUUUUAGACCAUAAACAUAAUUUUGUUUCUUUUUUCCAUUUUAAUGAGUUCUCUUCAUGUACAAGAGCAGGGAUUGUUCUUGAUAAUAAUAAUUGGGCCAUAGGGAAAUACUGAUUGUUUAAUAGCUAAAGAGCAGGGUACUUAGAGAGAUUAAGACAUUUCUGAUCAGUCCGUGGCUUUUGGGGGUCAGAGUGAAAUCAUGACUUAUUGUGGUUUGAACUCCAUCCCAGCUGAAACCAAGAUACUUACUCAAAGCAGCAGCAAAACUACUUAUUUUUCAUGGUUUGCUUUUAGCCAAGAAGCUCAGCAAUCAAACUGAUAUUCCCCAUAAUGACUGUCCUGACAACUGGAUUCUUCCAUGUCGAGUGAUCAUACCAGCAAACUUCUGUGUUUGCUGCCACCAGUGAAUAGUAAGGCAUCAUAUAGCUGCAGUUCAAUAUCUCUAUUCAUCCAUGUCCUUCAUAACUGGAAGGAAGAACACACCUUAUGUAUGUUUUGGAAACGAUGCUGGACUAAAUUGUGUCUUGAGCACCACUGUAACUACUGAACAGGUCAUUGUCCUUUCUGUUAUGUUGAGAGUAGCUGAACCUAGAAGAUACAGAUACUCUAAUGCAAGAAAAUACCCUUAGACAGUAGCCAACCCUAUACAUAUUUAAGCUCAGCUAAUCCUGGAAGUUGUAAAGGGAGAUCCUUAUCAUAUACAUCAGAUCAGACAUGACCUUAUGGCUUCAGGGACAGACUAACCGCCCAAAAUAUAACGGGGAGCAGGAAGGAUAAAGAUUUUUGUUCAUAUACUCUCUUUAAAUGAACGGCUUUAACUAGUCUGGGUUUGACUCAGAUGCUGUACCAUGGGGACAGAGUCAGUAUUGGUUAUUAGAUUUCAAAUUCCCAUCCCAUUUGGAAACAUGAGACUCUUAUUUGUCACAGAUUUUGGCCCAUUCCAUUUUUUUCAACUACAAGAAAUAAUGAUGAAUGACAUAAAACUCACUGCAUCUUUGUGGGAACAGAAUUCAAUACUAUAAUUUUGUAAUAAAAUAUCUUAGAAAAGUGUUAUGAAAAUACUAACCUAUUAAAUCCAUGGCAACAUCAGCCACUGUUCUGGGAAUAAAAAUUUAGAAUGAGCAAUAAAUAAUCAAGCCACCAAAAAACAUGAACAGAAUCUGGAUGGUACAACCUGUGAUACGGCUGGUAUUUUUACUCUUACAUUGAAAGCAAUCCCCAGGUAAAUGCAAAGCUGGUUACAGAGGACAAAGGUUAGGCUUCAGUCAUUAGUAUCUGAUUUUUGGUAUGCCAUCAUUGCAAGCAGUAAGGGGAAAGAUUUACUAAGGUAUUUAGGUACCUAACCAUGCCUAGCAGCAUUUAUAGCAGCAUCUAAGUAGGUUAAGUACCUAAUUCCCAUUAACUCCAUCAACAUCUUUAAGCUGCUAAACACCUCUGUGAAGCUGGCCCCAGAGCCUGACCUGACAGGUUUCUAUUUGAACUGGUGUGGCUGGGCUGGCUGCAGCAGCUGAAGCUCAAGCUGAUGCUCCUUGAAGCAGGGUGGUAGGUAUGUUUGAUACAUGAGGAACAGGAACACAGAAGUGGACAAAGGCUCUUGAGCUGACUUAAAAGUUUUACUACUGACUUAAGGUAGAGCUGUACAAAAGUCACUCAGAGCAGUAUUUGCAAAAAGGCCACUGAAUUUUGGUGCUGGGUUUGGAGUAAGCAUUAUUGUUUCUGACUCAGUGAGUUGCUUGAACAGAGUGUUAAGAAUCCCAUCAGUUUCUAGAAAAGUCAAGAUUUCACAGGCCAAGUCACAACAGCAUUUCCUGAGCUUCAGGAGAGCCUUUCCCACUAGUCAGUCCUGCACAGCCUGGCUUGUUCCACAACAACAAACAUUUUUUUUAAAGGAUUUUCCUUGCCUUAACUCGAUACCAACAGACACCCUCUUGCAUGUCAGAAACAGACUUAAAGAAAUCAACCAAACCAUGUUUCAGGUUCAUAAAGCAGCCUGUCAUGAGAAGCAUUUAAACAGAUGGUGAAUGUUACGUGGGAUAGCUCAACCUGCAUUAAACACUUUACCUGACUGAACCUGUCUCUCAGUACUCCAGCUUGUCAGGUUUAUCUCCCACAGCGAAAUGCACAUGGUGAGACCCGUCUCUCUCUGGCAGCGGGUGCCCGAGGUAAUGCCAACGCCACUUGGUCUGAGGAGCAGAUGAGGCCACCCAACAGAUAGUGUCCACAAAGCAAAUAUAUUCUGCAGUAAACCAGCUAGUGAAAAGCAUGUUACAAAAUUAAAAAUUACCUCUAUUUUUAUAACCUUUUAUUUCUCAUUUUAGCAUAAUUAAUUUCGUAUUCCUUAAUUUGCAGUAGAGGCUAAAGCCUCCAGCUGAUCUCUCGAUGGGACACCAUUAGCUUCUGUUUCUUCAACUACAACCAAGGGGGGCAUAAGUAAAGCAGGUGAGGCUCCACUGAGAUCUGCACAGCCAUUGUAGCACACCUGAUUUGCUUUUUUAGCUUCCUUUAAAUGUUGGGUUUUGGUAAUUCUGAAAAAAUUUGUUAGAGCAGGAGAAGUGAGAUUUGUUCUCUCCCUCUCUCCUUGGCUGACCGUUGGAGUUUUACCCCAUUACGUGCCUAGAACAGCUCUAGAAGGUAAGCAAGUCCUGCUUCAGUAACAUGCAUAGCCCACAUAGAUGAAGUGAUUUGUACUGUUUAAUCACAUAAGUACUUUAUAUCAGUGAAAUCUGAUGUACACAAGAGAUUUCCAUCACCACAAACAUGUUUGAGUACAAAGAGGAACGGUAGUCUGCAUCAGUUCUGGUUUUAAAGGGCAUGGUAUCAAACAGGAGGCUUUCUAAACAGAGGCCGAGUAGGAUCAUCCUUUACAAAUAACACUGUGAGAAUUACAGUGAAAUUCUCUGUUUGGAGCCUGGCACCACUGCAAACACAUGUGAGCCCUUCAGACUCCAACUGAAAGCAGUGUCAGAACAGAUUUUAGUGCUGUAAGGUUGUCUCUGAGGUGGUCCCUGCUUUGUAUUAAAUGUCAGUGUGCAAAUAACAAAUGUUGUUUUUCCCUCAUAACUGAUCAUAAAAAUCUAUAGAGGCUUUAUAUAUUUGCUUACAUAAUAGCUGUAUCUUUUCUAUAGAUUUAACUGUAGAAAACUACAGUGCAGCCACUGCCUGGCUGUGCACCCGCCUGACCACUGUGUGAAUAUUUAAGCAAUGUUUAUGGAAUGGCCAGCUCAUGUAUGUAUGUGUGCUUAUAUUUAUCUGGUGGGGUUGACGAAAGGAUCGUUUAAUUUAUUGAGACACUGAGUAGUGUUACAAGAAGUUAUUUAUCGCCUGUGGAGCUGAGUAUCUAAUAUGCCUGUGUAGGUAUCUGUGUUAAGCUGUUUGCUUUCAUGGGAGAAUGUGCCAUUUUAAAUUUACUGGAAUAUUUGCAGUAUUUGAAGGGUAAUGUGGGGCAAGUAUUCAGGUAAAGAUUAACAUCAGUGUGUACCAGAACAGUAUUUUUCACAAUGUCACCUUUACAAGGAAAAUAAAUAGAGGUAUGGGAAUCAUUUAUGGCCCCAUGGCCAUUCCCUUGUAAAGAUGUAGUUUCAUUAUCUUAAGGGAUAUAACAUGUACUUUCAUUUCUUUUCCACUGACAUUUUUUUAUUCUGGAAUAAAAACGAAAAGUUGUUGUUUACAGUGUUGCACAUUUUGCCAACUGCUUUUUACAAUUUCUUUUGAAGCUAUCCUAGAACCAUUUUCUCAAUAUACACAGUUUCAGCUUAAUCCAAAUAAUUUCACAAACUAUUUCACAGAAAGGAAGAGACAAGAGGAGAUAGAGAGAAAUAACCUAGGAAACAAGUAUGCCAGCGUACAAAAAUAGAUUAGAACAGUUGGAGAUUGUAGGUAUGAAAAUGUAGUCUCAAUAACGGAGAAUCUGAACGAGUGGAUUAUCUGGAGAGGUAACGCUUACGGGAGAAGCAGCUAGAUAGAUACAGAGAUCUAUUUCUAAUGUCUUUAAUUUCUAGGCAAAUUUAUAAGAGGGGGAGAAAUAGUCUCCAAGUUUCUGAAAUGUUCUCAUCUGUGGGUGGAGGCAGUAAAGCAGAGCAGGCAGAUUGCCAACAUUUUGUCUCAAUUUCUCCCCCUCUCGUGCACAGCAGGCUGUGCAUUGCCUCUCAGAGCCAGAGAUCAUUACCACUCCCCAGGAAGGGCAAGCAGUCUGUGCAGAGCUGUCCUCCUCCAGCUGAUCUAACAGAAGGACAGCUUUAAAUUGCUGUUAGGUCUCUAUGAAGUCUCUGCUCAUGCAGCCUGCCUGAUCCAUAGUCUCUGUCCCUAAAUAGCUUUUCCUGUUUGAAACACCCAGCUCGCUGUCACAGAGCCACUAGCAGAAUAAAUCAAGUUUGUGAGGGUCAAGUGGAGAUUCAAACCUCUCUUGAACAGCACUGGGAAACUGGAAUCUAUAUGCAAUCUGGAUAGCAUGGAAGUACGAACUGAAAGGGCUUGUCAUAAAGCAUCCAAACAACUCCUACAGCAAAUAUCGCAAGGAAUUCAGAUCAUUAUAUAUCCUCUAUGGGUCAUGAAUCUGCCGUUUUCAGAAAAGGGAUUGCAGUGUCCAACCCUGAAACUGAAGCACAUGCUCUGUCCCCUCAGAUCCUGUUCUCCAGGAACACAAAGGAAGCUGUGAAGCACGUAGGAGCCAUAGGAGCAAAAUAAGGCUAAAGCAUUUAUGCGCUAUUGCUAUGAGAAGUUUUCUUAGAAAUAUAAGUUACUGUGGGUCUGCUGAGCAAGCUCUUCCUUCUAAUCUACACCACCUGUGUAUAUUCGUGGAUAAUUUGGUUCUGACCUAGUUAAAAGUGCAAAACAUUUUUUCCUAUUUGCUUAUCCAAUAUAUCCUGACAUCUACUUCCAGCCAAGCCUGCAAAAAACUCUUUUGUGAGACACACACACUCUUCCUCCAGGAAGAACACUUGGUGAUGUGCUCUACAGCUCACAGGCCAAAUGCAAUAGAUUGCUGCUCUACUGUUCAAAGAAGACUUGACUUGGGCUUUAAAAGAAGGUAUAUCGAUUCAAAAGGAUCAACAGCUACAGUGUGCCUGACUCGGCACAGCUCUGCAGUGCUAAGGACAGAGAGUGUGGCACAGGCACCAGAACUGCAAAUCAGUCUGGUCUUUAUAUCCAUUCCUCAGAGCACAAGGAUUUUUAAAUCCAGUGCCAAACCUGCUGAAGGCAGACCUCAAAAAAAUUGUGAUUGCACAGCCUCAUUCCUUUGUAUCGGCCAAUAGAGGUGAGCUGGAGUGCAGAAGGGUGCCUGAACAUUUCCAGGGAGGUUCUGCAGUCCUUAAGCAUGCUGCUCAGAAAAAUGCAGAUUGCAGCCUGUGUCUUUUUCACACUGCUACAAUCCGGCUCUUCUUGGACUGAAGGUCAGAGAUAGGGUUUUCCUUUGGCAUAUUCAGCAGUGCUUCUGCGAAGUUUCAGGUCGGUCUUUCACUCAUUCAUCAACACCUACCAUAUAUAUUAUACACAUAGAUGCACAUUUAUAAAGGAACCUCCAAAAAAAGUAGCAUAGAAUCAUAUUUGACAAAGCUGACGUCAUACAUUGUGCUGUAAAUAAUGAGAUUUAAAAUAUCUUGUGCUACUGAGGUACAGUAACCUGUUCAUUAGCUUGCACGAGCACCCCGUCAUUUUCUUUAUCCUCUUUAAAUUAUCACCAAUGUGUACAAAAUUAUUUUCUUCUACUUAAAGACCAGCUUUAAGGAGGUGACUGAUUUCUGCUGAUCCUGGAGGUGGUUUCACAGGUUUCAUUGUACUUGAAACUUCACAGCUUCCACUGAAGUAUUUGAUGCAUGUAUGUAUCAGUUUAGCAGAGUACAACAGCGGAAUAAUUUUAAUUCUUGCCUCAUAUUGUGAACAGAGUAUGGUGUCCUCUACCAAAACUGUUUCUUUUUACUUGACAAGUUAUCAAAGACUUACAUUUUAUAAAGCUCAGCCACCAAUCUUAAUACAGUACUUCUUUUAAAUGUCAUUAGGGCUCCAAUACUUGUAAUAAGUUGCUAGAUUUCUAUUAGCAAAACUUAUUUGCAAAUUUCUUCCAUAAAAAUAAAAUUUUUCAGUAGUUAAA